UUGGGAAUUAUUUGUAAUAUUGGUCCAUAUUCAUGACUGAGUAGUUUACUUAGGUUCAAGGGUAAGCUUGUCACGUGGCAUUUGAAGCUAGAAUCAUAAAAAUUCAAAUGGCAUAAUCAAAUCUUCUCCAACCAAUAUUGAGGAUUCGGUUAGUAUGAAAAUAGGAGAAGAUAGAUUAUUUAUGGCCUUAGGGAUGACAUAGCUAUAAUCAAUGAAAUUAG
rnacentral:lncRNA from 1 species